AAAAAAAACCAAUAUAAACCUAGUUCUCUUUUCUCCCGAGCUCUAGCCACCGGAAAAAAAAUGUAGAUCUGAGGCCGGAUCGCGGUGGCUGACCUAGCACCGGUUCCGAACUCCCUUUCUCAAGCCAGAAGCUUUUGCUUCUCUUUUUCUUAUUCAUUGCGGCUUUAAUGGAGAUUUGAGAAUGAGACAUGGGGUUGCGGUGGUUCGAUUCCGGCAUGAGGAAGGUUUGAGUGGAGUUUCGGAUUGGUGGUUUUUCUUCCGCCGAGGCAUGGCUUUCGAUGAGAAACAGGGUUCUCGAAUUAGGUAGUGGUUGGUGGUAUCUGCUUCAGGAGUUGGUGGUGGGUUGCGUUUCUUUUCAAACGGAUUCAAGGUUGCGGACUUCAUUUUGGCUAUCGGUGAAUGACGCUAUUAACAGACACAUAUCGAUCUCUAGAACGACGUUUUCCCGGCGAUUUGCGAUAAGUUGUUCGAGCCAAGGAGAAAAGAUAUCGCCUUUUAGCAUCUGAUGUAUCUUCGCCAGAGCGGAUUUAUCUGUGAGAGUGGCUACACUUCUUCAGACACACUCAACGCUGUCCUUGGAGAAUAGCCAGUUGAAUGAAGAAGCAGGUGGCGAUAUUAGAGCAUGGCAAGCUCAUGAGGGAAGGUUACAAUGCAAGCCGAUUUGUGUAGGUGAGUACAAGUUAUCAAAGAAGGACCCUCUGAGACUAAAAUCUGGAUUGGGAUACUAAGGGUGCAAUAACAACAAUUAGCUCUAGUGAAUUAUAUAGUCUUGUUGUAUACCUCUAUUUGUAUGGUUGGAUAAAUACAAAUUAGAACAUCCUCCGUUGCUAUAUUGUCUUCUUUUGAAAUUUAUAAAAUUUAUCAUUUUGCUCUUCA